rnacentral:tRNA from 1 species
GCAUUGGUGGUUCAGUGGUAGAAUUCUUGCUUUCCACGCAGGAAGUCCAGGUUCGAAUCCCAGCCAGUGCA